rnacentral:rRNA from 1 species
CAGCCGCCACGGGAAUACGAAGGGUGCAAGCGUUACUCGGAAUUACUGGGCGUAAAGGGCGCGUAGGUGGUUAUUUAAGUGAGAUGUGAAAGCCCCGGGCUUAACCUGGGAACUGCGUCUUAUACUGGGUAACUGGAGUGCAGUAGAGGGUAGUGGAAUUUCCGGUGUAGCGGUGAAAUGCGUAGAUAUCGGAAGGAACACCAGUGGCGAAGGCGGCUACCUGGACUGAGACUGACACUGAGGCGCGAGAGCGUGGGGAGCAAACAGGAUUAGAUACCCGAGUAGUCCCUGUCUCUUAUAC